GUGAGAGUUCAUCCAAGUACAACCCAAUCUUCCUACAUCCAUCAUUGUUUUGCUACAAGGUGUACAGCCUGCUACUGGGAAGGGGGCGUGAUGUCAGAACUGAGCUGAUUCUUGCACCCAGCUGAUCCCACUCACUCAUCACACACCUGAACCUGCUGUGCCAAUCACCAGCAGCAUUUAGGAGCAGCCCUGACGUCUUGCCCCUGCCCCAUAGUUAGUCACGUUUGGCCUGGGAGCAUUAGAGCAAAAGUUCAAGAUUGAUUGUCCCAAUCUGAAAAAGCAACUUGCUUCAUUACAGCGGUCUACACCAGCGGUUCCCAACUCCAGGAACCAUUGGUUUACACAAUCCCCACAAGGUUAAGUGAAUGUGCUGAACAUGGAUUCCACUCCGCAAGAAUAAAACCUGAGCGUGACUCAGUACUGUUGAAAUAAAAUAAAGUUGACUGGGAGAGCAAAAUUGCAUGCAAUGCGGAGCUGCAGAUAUGUCUGUCUGAGGGAUCCAAGAAUUCACAGCAACGGAAGAACCGUACCCAGACAUCAAGAAACAGCAGACAGCAAAACUCUAAGGAGCAGGAACGUGACUGUGUCUACGCUACAUGCUCAGUACACGUGUGUAUGUAAUUU
ensembl:lncRNA